rnacentral:rRNA from 1 species
UCCAUGCCGUAAACGUUGUAUACUAGAUGUGGGGGAUUAAGCCCCCUCCGUGUCCAAGCUAACGCGAUAAGUAUACCGCCUGGGGACUACGGCCGCAAGGCUAAAACUCAAAGGAAUUGACGGGGACCCGCACAAGCGGUGGAGCAUGUGGCUUAAUUCGAGGCAACGCGAAGAACCUUACCUGGGUUUGACAUGUUUAGGACCGCCCCAGAGAUGGGGCUUCCCUUCGGGGC